ACCAAUGGAUCAUUCCUAGGUCUGUGAUUUGCCGGUGCCCGGGCAAUCUUUGAGAAAACUUCUUGAAGGCUCAGGGCAUCUUUGGACCCAAAGAGGCCCAGGGAUGCCACAAAAGGGCUGCUGGCCCCUAGCGGUGCAGAUUCAGCCCUCACCAUGCUAAGACUCUACCAGCAUCAGCUUCUGGAGGUUCCUAGCAACACACUGUAGAAGGUGCGAUGUUACCCUUGUCUAAGACUCCAAGAGGGACCCAGACUUGUUCAAGCCACGCCCCCCUACAAUGAGGCGCUGACUACCUAAUUCUUCAGGUCUCUGCUGGGCACCCAGUCUCUGCCUGCCUGGGGCUUCCAGUCCAGUGGGGAAGUGUGACCAGGCAGGGGCAGGAUGAUUAGCGCUGUGAUGGAGGACACACAGGUCCCGCAGGCACCCAGAGAGGCACUUGCCUCAACCUGGAGGAUCCAGGAAGGCUUCCUAGGAAGGAGGCGUCCACGUCAAGACUCAUGGUACAACUGAGGCCCAGUGUGGGGUGCUCGCCCAACGUCAGAUGGUAGAGUCUGAACCUGGUGCCAGUAGGACCCAGGCCUGCAAGGGGACAGCUUUGAGCUCUGUGGCCUCAGGAUGGCUGUCCCAAGCCUGUGUCCUCACCUGUGAAAUGGGAGACUGGAUGUUGGGCCAGGUGCCCUGAUGAUCUCUGAGGCUAUCCGACCUGGCUGCAGGGCGCUGAUCCCCUGGACCCCGCUCCAAUCAGUGGCGAAUGUCAGAAGCACAGUUCUCUAGUUCUGUGCCCUGGUCCCAGCAACCCCAGUGGUCCUCCAAGCAAUGAUGCCUGGAAAUCCAUCCAAUGUUGCCAUCUGCAUCCUUUGGUCACAUGACCAGGCUGAGCCAAUCAGGAGACCAGCAGAACAGGCUUCAGUGAUUGGCUAGAGCCGGAGGUGGAACCAAUUCACUCACAGGGUUGGAAAAGAGGAAAGGUGUGCAUUGGUUAAGGUAACACUCCGUGCCUUUAUAAACUGGCAAGGCUCAAUGA